GACGAACGCUGGCGGCGUGCUUAACACAUGCAAGUCGAACGGAAAGGCCCUGCUUUUGUGGGGUGCUCGAGUGGCGAACGGGUGAGUAACACGUGAGUAACCUGCCCUUGACUUUGGGAUAACUUCAGGAAACUGGGGCUAAUACCGGAUAGGAGCUCCUGCUGCAUGGUGGGGGUUGGAAAGUUUCGGCGGUUGGGGAUGGACUGGCGGCUUAUCAGCUUGUUGGUGGGGUAGUGGCUUACCAAGGCUUUGACGGGUAGCCGGCCUGAGAGGGUGACCGGCGACAUUGGGACUGAGGUACGGCCCAGACUCCUACGGGAGGCAGCAGUGGGGAAUAUUGCACAAUGGGCGGAAGCCUGAUGCAGAAACGCCGCGUGCGGGAUGACGGCCUUCGGGUUGUAAACCGCUGUCGCCUGUGACGAAGCGUGAGUGACGGUAAUGGGUAAAGAAGCACCGGCUAACUACGUG
rnacentral:rRNA from 1 species